CGUGUAGGCGGCCUUGUAAGUCGGGUGUGAAAUCCUUCGGCUCAACCGGAGACGUGCACUCGAUACUGCAAGGCUUGAGUACAGGAGAGGAGAGUGGAAUUCCUGGUGUAGCGGUGAAAUGCGUAGAUAUCAGGAAGAACACCGGUGGCGAAGGCGACUCUCUGGCCUGUUACUGACGCUGAGGCGCGAAAGCCAGGGGAGCGAACA
rnacentral:rRNA from 1 species